GCCUGGCGUGGUGGUGCCCACCUAUAGUCCCAGCUACUAGGGAGGCUGAGGUAGAAGAAAUCACUUGAGCCCAGGUGUUAUAGACAAUAGUGUGCUCUGCCGAGUUGGCCGUCAGUAUGAUGACCUCCUGGGAGUAGGGGACUACCAAGUUGCCUAAGGAAGGGUGAACGGCCCAGGUCAGAAAUGGAGCAGGUCCAAACUCCCAUGCUGAUCUGUUGUGGGUUGUGCCUCUGAAUAGCCACUGUGCUCCAGUCUGAGCAACUCAGUGAGACCCCAUCUCC
rnacentral:SRP_RNA from 1 species